AGCAGGGAGAGCUCAGCCGCAGUGUGCACUACCACACCAGUGACUGCCCGGCUCUCUCGCUCUUUAGAUUUCUCUCCGCCGUGGUGCUGCUGCUGGUGGUGGUGCUGGUGGUGGUGGUGGUGGUGCUCCCGUCUGAAUGGCCACGGUUGGAGUCUGGGCGUCUGGAUGUCAGCGCUAUCUUCCAGUGCACGGUGCUGCCCUUGGGCCUGCUGACAGCCAGCUGUUGAAGGUGUGUCAAACAGAGGGACUGGGAAGCGGCAGCAGCAGCAGCAGCAGCAGCAGCCUCGGGACCAGUCAGAGCUUGGUUUGGGCCUGAAAGACGUGCCAGACCUGCUGCCAAAGCAUCGGCCUCC
rnacentral:lncRNA from 1 species